ensembl:lncRNA
AAAAAAGAGAGAGAGAGAGAGAAAGGGCUUUCCGAGGAAAAACCCUGGUACCGAAGAACUCCCACCCCCGCGAGGCCAACACCGCACCCAGCCCCCAGCGUCGGACUUCCCAGGGAAAAGAGUGGAAGCCAGAAGAUGAAGUGCUGGUAGGCCAAAACACACCGCUCAACUGGCCAUGGGUCAGGGGCGAGUAGACCAUCAAGUCUGCAGGGGAGUCGGUCCUGCAGUCAGUCCCGAAGCGACUCUCCUCUUCUUGAUCAUGGGAGCAGGCUUAGGGAUGAUUGGAGCAUUGGGGGAAGGGUAGUGGUAGGGUGGCCAUACUAGAGUCCUGAGGACCUUCUCUGACUUCUUUUGGCCUUUUUCCUCCAACUGUAAAAUGAGUUCCUGAUCAGGUCCUCUCGUGUCCUUAUGUUUGAAAAGGUGCCUCUCAGGAUGGACUUGGGCGUCCUACAGCUGCCAGUCUGAAGCCAUCAGCAAGCCAGGUGCACCUCAAGAAAACCCAGAAGAGACUUCAAGGAAGAAAAACAGUUCACACUCAGCCACGCAGUGAAACAUAGCAACUCAGCAACAAGGUGACUGGAAGGAAUGGGGACUGCAGGGUGCCUAGGCCCAGAGGGCAAGCCUCACCCCUGCACUCAGACCGGCAGCUCCACGGGCUUGGGCUGCGGCUCCAGUUGCCAAAGCCCUUGAGUGAACAAAGCCACCCAGAAGCACACAGGUAGUCCCUUCUUGGGGUCACUCAACAGACCCUUCUGCAGACAGUCCCAGGCAUACCAUCAAGGCUGAUGUGAGGAAGCGAUACCCAAGCUCGUCUCCUGAUCCUACUGAGUCAGCCAGGCCCCUGACUGGCCAUCCCCCACUCUUGGGAGCCUCAACCACCCAUUCAUCUAUCUAUCCAUCUUUCUUUACUUUUUUUUUUUUGAGGAAGAUUAGCCCUGAGCUAACUACUGCCAAUCUUCCUCUUUUUGCUGAGGAAGACUGUCCCUGAGCUAAUAUGCGUGCCCAUCUUCCUCUACUUUAUAUGUGGGACGCCUACCACAGCAUGGCAUGCCAAGCGGUGCCAUGUCUACACCCGGGAUCCAGGCCAGCGAACCCCGGGCCACGGAGAAGCAGAAGGUGCGAACUUAACCGCUGCGCCACUGGGCCGGCCCUCUUUCUUUUCACUUUUAUCGACUGAAAUAAAUAGUCGCAGUGAUAUUAGUGAUGGAGUUUAUUCAACAAUUAGCAUGAGGUCUUCAAAUCCUUGGAAAAUAGUUCAACGGAGUGCUCUGAUGGAACCUCUGUGAGGUGUGUGAAUUUAAGUGUACUUGCUCUUUAACAAAACGGUGUACAUGCAGGGAAAAGGAAAAAAGAAAAACUUACAAGAUUUCAAAAAAAAAAGGGGAGAGUACAUCUGGGCUUUUCUCUAGAUUAUACAUUGAAUGUAACAUAAGCAAGAAUUUCUUGGUUAUACAUCAAACAAGUUCAGAGACCCUGAUGUUAUCCAUGUGCAGAGGGAGGCAAGGACCGUGGUCGUUAAUUAUUCCCCUAAUCUCUAAUAAAUGCAGCUGUGAAAUGUGAGCGUGAGGUACCACUUUACCUUUUCCUAUUGAGGAUCUGUCCAGCUGGCAUCUUCAGUCUUGAGGUGUUGGGUUGCAAGGUCAUUUUGACACAGACUGAAGAUGGCCUGCACCGCAGCUUCACACCAAAAAUCUAUCCACACUUUCUUCCCUUCUCCCUCACUUCUGAAGGACCCACUGGAGAAAACAGGCAACAGCCUGCCACUAAAGCAGCAGAAACAGCCUGUGCCGGCAUCUGUCCACCACCAGAGAACGCUCCGGCUCGCUCAGAACCUGGCAACCACGGUGCUAAGCAACCACAGCGGUCUUGGCGAGGCCAGAGGCUCUCUUUCCCGCGCAUGCGCACUUGGUAGCCGGCUUCAACUCCCGGAAGCUGGGCUCCCAGACGCAGGGAGGGGAGAGGAGGACUGAUGGGAGACCGGGGCCAGCGUGUCCGCCUUCCUCUCCUUAGGCCCCGAGGUUUCAGAUCUCUAGGUAGCUGCCGCCACCACCUCCACCGCUGCCGAUUCCGCCCCAGCCGCUGACCCAGCUGCCACCAGCACCACCAUCCCGGUGGCAGCCUUACUGGGUGACGAGAGAUUUUUGAAACAGCCCGGGCAAAGCCCCUAUUGGCUCUCGCCUUCAACGGCCGUUGCCAUGGUUACCAGCCGCUAGACGCCAAUGGCGGAGGCAGCACCCCGGCCCCCCCAUCCUGGCCGGCGCCACUGCCUCCGCGCCGCCCUUUCCAGCUCCCCACCCGCCCCCGCCUUUGGGUGCGAGGGGAACAGUCGCUCGGGGCGCGUGACUGCCGGGCGCCUCCUUCCAUCCGGUCAGCUUUUGCGGGAGCACAAUAAAUUCUUUAAACCUUUGAACCGCUCUCCUUUUCCUCUAAGUGGAAUAGGAAUGGGCGUGGUAGGCGCGUAGCUUGGGUUGGCAGGUGGACCCCAGGGGUCCUCGUCACCCCGGAUCUGUUAGGGGGGUAGGCCUGGAGCCUGGAAUCGUCCGCAAGGGGAGGAAAUUGCGGGGGAGGGGGCGGCCGGUUGAUCCCGGAAGGAGCAUCAGGAUGGAUCCAUCUCCCGUGAGCAGAGGUGGAAAGGUGCUGGAGAGAGGCUAAGAUCCCUGACAAGGAUCCACCGGCCAUGGGGUGGGGGGAGCGGUGGCUUUUGGGGUUUACUGGUCAGGGCCCCUCAGCUCUUACAAGGUCACACCAGGCUGGACCUUUGCAGUUAGUUAUUCUGAAUUCGGUGAGACUUUGUGUUGAUGUGGCAAACAUAGUGGAAAUGUGGAAGCCCCCGGCCCUGGCUCGCCAGGGAAAAAUGACCCUCAGCCCUGGGACACCCUGGUGUCCAGCAUAUGGGUUAGUUAAGCCAUCUGGGCACUAAGCUGAGGCCUCUUCUGACAGAUGUUCUAUGAAAAGACAAGUCAGCA